GAUUUUGGUUCCGGAAGUUGGAAUAGGAGUUGUUCCAUUUGGUACUUGCAUGCAAAAUUUGAGGUCAUUCCGCGUUGGUUUGAUAUGGUUCGGUAUGUGUUUUGAAAGUUGAAAGUUCAUUAGGCUUGAAUUAGAGUGUGAUUUGUAGUUUUGAUAUUGUUUAGUGUGAUUUAAGGUCUCGAGUAGAUCCGUGUUAUAUAUUGGAGUUGGUUGAUGUGAUUGGACGGGGUCCCCGGGGUCCCGGGUGUGUUACGGAUGGGCUAUGAGCCGUUCCUUCAUGAUUUGGAGUUGCUGGUUUUCUGAUGUUCUACAGUUCAUCAUGUUCGCGUAAGGACGUACGCGAUCGCGAAGUGUAUUUUGGGUGGCUGAGGAUUUACUCAUCGCGUUCGCAAGUUGGUCGUCGUGCUCGUGGAGCCUGGAUGGGAGAUGGUCAACGUGUUGGCGUCCCUUGUGUCACGACUGGAUGGGAGAUGCUCAACGCGUUGGCGUCCCUUGUGUCACGAUCGUGUAGGUAGAGUUGGAGGGGCGCCAGUGGAUUGGCCUUCACGUUCGCGUAGGCUAGUUGAGCUGAGGGGUCGCAUUCGCGGGCUUCAGACUGCGUUCGUGGAGAAGGAAUUUUAUCGAUUUAGAUUGAGAUUCGAGCCGUCCGGAGGUUGUUUCAUAUGGGAAGGGCUUCUUAAAGUAUUGAUUUAGCUUCAUUGAGGUGCGUACACUUUAACAUGCCAUUUAUACCUGUCCAGGAGUAUGACACUUGACAAUCAUUGGCCAUGUACAUGCAUUCUUGUAAAUUUGCUUUCUGUGCGAUAUAGCUAGAUUGGUAGUUUGUGACCAUGCUGGGCGGUUUAUCAUAUUAAGCAUGUGACGCCGCCGGGUGAUUUGUGAUAUUGAGCCUGUGACUAUGCCGGGUGAAUUGUGAUAUUGAGCCUGUGACCUCGCCGGGCGAUUUGAUAUUGGCACAUGAGUUGUCUGUGCGGUUGUGACAAGUAAUGUGAGCACGAGGUGCCAUGUGUGUAUGAUUUUUUUGAAUUAGGACUCGUGAUUUGUGAGUAUGAAGUGUGGUACCUCGGGGUGAUU